AUGUUGUGCAACUGUCACCACCGUCCAUUCAGGCCUUUUAUCGUCAUCCCAAACAGAAACUCUGUACCCGAUGUUAGGACGAAGGGGAAGGAGGAGAAGAGCUUAAAGCGGCGGGAGCGGUGCGGGAGUGGGGUUGGACCCAGGGCUGAGGCAGGCCACCCCCUCCCUCCCGCCUCAGUGGAUCAUGCCCAGGGCGGCAGCGGCGGUGGUGGCGGGGGGGGGGGGGGGGGGGGGGGGAGUGACUGGGCGGUGCCGGCGCAGGAGACGGUGCCGUUUCCAGUUACAACGCAGGGAUCACAACAAACACAGCCGCCCCAGAAGCAUUAUGGCAUUACCUCUCCUCUCAGCUUAGCAGCCCCCAAGGAGACUGACUGCCUGCUUACACAGAAACUAAUUGAGACUCCGAAGCCCUUUGGGGUUUUUGAAGAGGAAGAGGAACUGCAGCGCAGAAUUUUAAUUUUGGAGAAAUUAAAUAACCUGGUAAAAGAGUGGAUACGAGAAAUCAGUGAAAGCAAGAAUCUUCCACAAUCCGUAAUUGAAAAUGUUGGAGGAAAAAUUUUUACAUUUGGAUCUUACAGAUUAGGAGUACAUAAAAAAGGUGCCGAUAUUGAUGCGUUGUGUGUUGCACCAAGACAUGUUGAUCAAAGUGACUUUUUCACCUCAUUCUAUGAUAAGUUGAAAUUACAGGAAGAAGUAAAAGAUUUAAGAGCUGUUGAAGAGCCAUUUGUACCAGUUAUCAAACUGUGUUUUGAUGGGAUAGAGAUUGAUAUUUUGUUUGCAAGACUAGCACUGCAGACUAUUCCAGAAGACUUGGACUUACGAGAUGACAGUCUGCUUAAGAAUUUAGAUAUAAGAUGCAUAAGAAGUCUUAACGGUUGCAGGGUAACCGAUGAAAUUUUACAUCUAGUACCAAACAUUGACAACUUCAGGUUAACUCUGAGAGCUAUCAAAUUGUGGGCCAAACGCCACAACAUCUAUUCCAAUAUAUUAGGUUUCCUCGGUGGUGUUUCCUGGGCUAUGCUAGUAGCAAGAACUUGCCAGCUUUAUCCAAAUGCCAUAGCAUCAACUCUUGUACAUAAAUUUUUCUUGGUAUUUUCUAAAUGGUAUGUGUUUAGAUUAUAUUAAAAUAAAAUUGAUUGUAGACACUG